rnacentral:lncRNA from 1 species
AACAACAACAACAACAAACCCAGUGUAUUCCCACCUGGUGGGGUCUGGGGGGGUAGGAUGUACGCAGUCCAUACCUCUACCUCUGAAGAAGUAGAAAGGCUGUUUCCGAUAGACCCCCGGCUCGAGACACGCGGUACCACACAAACACAUAGUAAAGCACAACACAAGGUUACAAGAUUACAUAACAUAAAUACGGCACCCAUAAGUAAUAUAAAACAGAGGAAAGCACACAGCUUCAUAAUAAAACAUGGGACACGGACUCCUAACAGGAAUAAACCCCCACCAAGU